GGGACGAACGCUGGCGGCGUGCUUAACACAUGCAAGUCGAGCGGAAAGGCCACUUCGGUGGUACUCGAGCGGCGAACGGGUGGGUAACACGUGAGUAAUCUGCCCUUGGCUUUGGGAUAGCCACCGGAAACGGUGAUUAAUACCGGAUAUGACUGCUCCUCGCAUGAGGUGUGGUGGAAAGUUUUUCGGCCAGGGAUGUGCUCGCGGCCUAUCAGCUUGAUGGUGAGGUAAUGGCUCACCAUGGCUUCGACGGGUAGCCGGCCUGAGAGGGUGACCGGUCACACUGGGACUGAGACACGGCCCAGACUCCUACGGGAGCAGCAGUGGGAAUA
rnacentral:rRNA from 1 species